rnacentral:rRNA from 1 species
GUCCACACAGUAAACGAUGAAUACUCGCUGUUUGCGAUAUACAGUAAGCGGCCAAGCGAAAGCAUUAAGUAUUCCACCUGGGGAGUACGCCGGCAACGGUGAAACUCAAAGGAAUUGACGGGGGCCCGCACAAGCGGAGGAACAUGUGGUUUAAUUCGAUGAUACGCGAGGAACCUUACCCGGGCUUAAAUUGCACCUGAAUAAUGUGGAAACAUGUUAGCCGUAAGGCAGGUGUGAAGGUGCUGCAUGGUUGUCGUCAGCUCGUGCCGUGAGGUGUCGGCUUAAGUGCCAUAACGAGCGCAACCCUUAUCUUCAGUUACUAACAGGUCAUGCUGAGGACUCUGGAGAGACUGCCGUCGUAAGAUGUGAGGAAGGUGGGGAUGACGUCAAAUCAGCACGGCCCUUACGUCCGGGGCUACACACGUGUUACAAUGGGAGGUACAGAAGGCCGCUACCUGGCGACAGGAUGCCAAUCCCCAAAACCUCUCUCAGUUCGGAUCGAAGUCUGCAACCCGACUUCGUGAAGCUGGAUUCGCUAGUAAUCGCGCAUCAGCCAUGGCGCGGUGAAUACGUUCCCGGGCCUUGUACACACCGCCCGUC